CAGAACGAACGCUGGCGGCAUGGAUUAGGCAUGCAAGUCGAACGGUGCAGCAAUGCAGUAGUGGCGCAAGGGUGAGGAACACGUGAGUAACCUACCCUCAAGUUGGGAAUAGCUCCGGGAAACUGGAAUUAAUACCGAAUGUGAUUACCGGGAGGCAUCUUCUGGUACUUAAAGCAGCAAUGCGCUUGAGGAGGGCUCGCGUCCCAUUAGCUAGUUGGUGAGGUAACGGCCCACCAAGGCCAUGAUGGGUAGCUGGUCUGAGAGGACGAUCAGCCACACUGGGACUGAGAACUGCCCAGACUCCUACGGGAGGCUGCAGUCGAGAAUUUUGGGCAAUGGGCGCAAGCCCUGACCCAGCAAUGCCGCGUGCGGGAUGAAGGUCUUCGGAUUGUAAACCGCUGUCGCAGGGGACGAAACAAAUGACGGUACCCUGUAAGGAAGCCACGGCUAACUACGUGCCAGCCGCCGC
rnacentral:rRNA from 1 species